rnacentral:rRNA from 1 species
AUUGAACGCUGGCGGCAGGCUUAACACAUGCAAGUCGAGCGAGCGGCGGACGGGUGAGUAAUGUCUGGGAAACUGCCUGAUGGAGGGGGAUAACUACUGGAAACGGUAGCUAAUACCGCAUACCAUCAGAUGUGCCCAGAUGGGAUUAGCUUGUUGGUGGGGUAACGGCUCACCAAGGCGACGAUCCCUAGCUGGUCUGAGAGGAUGCCCACCCACCCUGGAACUGAGACACGGUCCAGCCUCUUACGGGAGGCGCCGGUGGGGAAGAUUGCACAAUGGGCGAAAGCCUGAUGAAGCCAUGCCGCGUGUAUGAAGAAGUCCUUCGGGUUGAAAAGUACUUUCAGCGGGGAGGCGUUACCCACAGAAGAAGCACCGGCUAACUCCGUGCCAGCAGCCGCGGUAAUAC